rnacentral:rRNA from 1 species
CCAGACUCCUACGGGAGGCAGCAGUGGGGAAUAUUGCACAAUGGGGGGAACCCUGAUGCAGCGACGCCGCGUGAGUGAAGAAGUAUUUCGGUAUGUAAAGCUCUAUCAGCAGGGAAGAAAAUGACGGUACCUGACUAAGAAGCCCCGGCUAACUACGUGCCAGCAGCCGCGGUAAUACGUAGGGGGCAAGCGUUAUCCGGAUUUACUGGGUGUAAAGGGAGCGUAGACGGCAGAGCAAGUCUGAAGUGAAAGCCCGCGGCCCAACUGCGGGACUGCUUUGGAAACUGGCAGGCUGGAGUGCCGGAGAGGCAGGCGGAAUUCCUAGUGUAGCGGUGAAAUGCGUAGAUAUUAGGAGGAACACCAGUGGCGAAGGCGGCCUGCUGGACGGUGACUGACGCUGAGGCUCGAAAGCGUGGGGAGCAAACAGGAUUAGAUACCCCAGUA